GCACCUGCUAAAUCAGGUGUCGGGAUUGGCGUCCUGAAAGUGUGUGCACAGACAAUCUU
rnacentral:sRNA from 1 species